rnacentral:rRNA from 1 species
UACGUAGGGGGCAAGCGUUGUCCGGAUUUAUUGGGCGUAAAGAGCGUGUAGGCGGCCGUACAGGUCAGCUGUGAAAACUCGAGGCUCAACCUCGAGACGUCGGUUGAAACCGUACGGCUAGAGUCCGGAAGAGGAGAGUGGAAUUCCCGGUGUAGCGGUGAAAUGCUUAGAUAUCGUCAAGAACACCGAUAGUGAAGACAGCUUACCAAGCUUCAACUGACGCUGAGGCACGAAAGUGUGGGGAUCAAACAGG